rnacentral:rRNA from 1 species
AACGCGAAGAACCUUACCUGGGCUCGAACGGCUUUGGAAACUCCUUGGAAACAGGGAUUUCCCGCAAGGGACCGGAGUCGAGGUGCUGCAUGGCUGUCGUCAGCUCGUGUCGUGAGAUGUUGGGUUAAGUCCCGCAACGAGCGCAACCCUUGUCCUGUGUUGCCACUCCCCUUAAAAGGAAGCACUCGCAGGAGACCGCCAGCGAUAAGCUGGAGGAAGGUGGGGAUGAUGUCAAGUCAUCAUGGCCUUUAUGUCCAGGGCUACACACGUGCUACAAUGGACGGUACAAAGCGCUGCAAACCCGCGAGGGGGAGCUAAUCGCAAAAAGCCGUUCUCAGUUCGGAUCGCAGGCUGCAACUCGCCUGCGUGAAGCUGGAAUCGCUAGUAAUGGCGUAUCAGAACGAUGCCGUGAAUACGUUCCCGGGCCUUGUA